rnacentral:tRNA from 1 species
GCCUGGGUGGUGAAAUUGGUAGACACAAGGGACUUAAAAUCCCUCGGCUUUACGGCCGUGCCGGUUCGAUUCCGGCCCUAGGUACCA